rnacentral:rRNA from 1 species
UACGAGAGGCCCAAACGUUAUUCGGAAUCACUGGGCUUAAAGAGUUCGUAGGCGGUAUGAAAAGUAGGGUGUGAAAGCCCUCGGCUCAACCGAGGAAUUGCGCUGUAAACUGCCGUACUUGAGGAAGCUAGAGGUGAGCAGAACUGAUGGUGGAGCGGUGAAAUGCGUUGAUAUCAGCAGGAAUACCGGAGGCGAAGGCGGCUCACUGGGGCUUGUCUGACGCUGAGGAACGAAAGCCAGGGUAGCGAACGGG